GGUGAGAUGACCGAGUGGUUAAGGUGGUAGACUCAAGCUAAGUUCUUGCACUGCAAAGCAGUGUUGUAUUCUACUGGAGCAAUCCGCAGGGGUUCGAAUCCCCUUCUCAUCA